UACGUAGGGUGCAAGCGUUGUCCGGAAUUAUUGGGCGUAAAGAGCUCGUAGGCGGUUUGUCGCGUCUGCUGUGAAAACUCGGGGCUUAACUCCGGGCCUGCAGUGGGUACGGGCAGACUAGAGUGCGGUAGGGGAGACUGGAAUUCAUGGUGUAGCAGUGAAAUGCGUAGAGAUCAGGAGGAACACCGGUGGCGAAGGCGGGUCUCUGGGCCGUAACUGACGCUGAGGAGCGAAAGCAUGGGGAGCAAACAGG
rnacentral:rRNA from 1 species